ensembl:snRNA U4 U4 spliceosomal RNA
AGCUUUGCGCAGUGGCAGUAAGUAUCGUAGCCAAUGAGGUUUAUCCGAAGCGUGAUUAUUGCUAAUUGAAAACUUUACCCAGUACCCCGCCAUGACAACUUGAAAUAUAGUCAGCAUUGGCAAUUUUUGGCAGUCUCUAUGGAGA